UUUCCAAGUCCCUCAAAAAAUAUGUUUAGGUAACCAGAUCAGAAACCAAUAAACAAUUCACCAAAUACAAUAAUGAAAAACUUACAGCUAACAGAUCCAUAUCAGAACAUGAAAAAUGGUAGAUCUUGUACUACAGGAUACAUGCAAAGCAAAUUACAAGGCAAUAAAAGAAUCGAAACUCUAAACCACAAAAAGAAUAACAGAGAGAUCAUCCAAG
rnacentral:misc_RNA from 1 species